rnacentral:rRNA from 1 species
CCUACGGGAGGCAGCAGUGGGGAAUAUUGCACAAUGAGGGAAAUCCUGAUGCAGCGACUCCGCGUGAGUGAAGAAGUAUUUCGGUAUGUAAAGCUCUAUCAGCAGGGAAGAAGAAAGACGGUACCUGACUAAGCAGCCCCGGCUAACUACGUGCCAGCAGCCGCGGUAAUACGUAGGGGGCAAGCGUUGUCCGGAUUUACUGGGUGUAAAGGGAGUGUAAUCGGCUGUGCAAGUCUGAAGUGAAAGCCCAGGGCUCAACCCCGGGACCGCUUUGGAAACUGUGGAGCUAGAGUGCUGGAGAGGUAAGUGGAAUUCCUAGUGUAGCGGUGAAAUGCGUAGAUAUAAGGAGGAACACCAGUGGCGAAGGCGGCUUACUGGAUAGUAACUGACGCUGAGGCUCGAAAGCGUGGGGAGCAAACAGGAUUAGAUACCCUAGUAGUC